UACCUAUCAUCCUUUAGCUCCGGAUGGUGCCCUCUAAAGUCCCUGCCUUCAGGCAUGUACUGUCUUGAAUCUUUGAUUUCAGGCAAAUAUUCUCUAGAACCUCUUGAAUGAAGCAUAUGCUGUCUAUCAUCCCUUUGAUCAGGUACUCGUGGUCUAUUAUCCCUUGCCUCAGGUACUCGUGCUCUAUUAUCCCUUGGCUCAGGUACCCGUGCUCUACUAUCCCUCGGCUCAGGUACUCGUCGUCUAUUAUCCCUCUGAUCAGGUAUGUGCUGCCGUGAACUAGGUUUUGCUGUUGAAGACUGAGCAGGCCUUGAUAGGAAAUCACGAAGGUCCACCCCAUUCUGCUG
rnacentral:lncRNA from 1 species